GGUGAGGUGGCCGAGUGGUUAAUGGCAGCAGACUGUAAAUCUGCCCUCGAGAGAGUACAUAGGUUCAAAUCCUAUCCUCACCA
rnacentral:tRNA from 1 species